rnacentral:rRNA from 1 species
UACGUAGGGUGCGAGCGUUAAUCGGAAUUACUGGGCGUAAAGUGUGCGCAGGCGGCCGCGCAAGUCGAGUGUGAAAGCCCCGGGCUUAACUUGGGAAUUGCGCUCGAAACUACGUGGCUGGAGUGUGGCAGAGGAAGGUGGAAUUCCAGGUGUAGCGGUGAAAUGCGCAGAUAUCAGGAGGAACACCGAUGGCGAAGGCAGGUCUCUGGGCCACUACUGACGCUGAGAAGCGAAAGCAUGGGGAGCGAACAGG